rnacentral:lncRNA from 1 species
AGACAGUUUUCUGAAAAUGGGGCUCAGCACUAAAUAACAAAUUUAAUCAUACCGCUUCAAAACUAAAAUAUUAAAAAACUAAAAUCCGAGUAACUCUUGGAGACCUCACAAUCAUUCUCAAACGCCAAAAGUAAAUCCCAGCAAUAAAACAGCGGAAACACAGCGAGAAAAUAAAUAUCAAAGUAAGCUCGCCGGUUCGUCUUGAGAAGCCGCGAAUGACAAAAGUGAAUGUUCUCGAAAAUUCUGUCCCCGUAAUGGAACCAGGUUAAGGCCAAGCCCUCUGGACUACAAUAGAUAUUUUCUAGUAAUUGUCCAGUCUGUGCAGAGCUUCAAACCCUAGUGAUGAAUGCGGAGACAAACAGGGCACCAAUGUGGAAGGAGAAUAAGCUCUCUCAAGGCUACAGUAGAUAUUCUGAUGCUCGUUGUAGAUAUUUAUUAGGAGACCGAGAGGUUUGGAUUGCGUUAGGGCAAAGAAUGCUAUUGGUUGUCAUGUUUUUCGAAUAUGUAGAAUUGGUUAGGUAUCAAAUUUUGAAGGUUACGUGUCAAUAUUCUAUUUGUCAACUAAUUUUUAAUUUAUGAAAAAAAAUUUCUUUUCGAUGGAAUUUGAAAUUGUUAUUGGGGCAUUUUCGUCAAAAUUUUAACAAAAUAGACAUUGAAUAAGUUUGGGAUACUUUUUGCAAAUGACUGUGAAAGUGGAAAGUUUAUGUAAUUUCCAUUUGUUUUUUCAAAUAAUAGGCUAUCAAAUAGGGACCAAGUCAAGAAAGGUAAAUGUUCAGAACACAAAGAAUAGUUGUAGAGAAAAUUUCAAUCUUAAGUCACUCGUCAACUCCAAAGUGUCAUGAAUGCAAUGAAAAUGAAAAAUAUAAAAUGAGCUCGAAGGAGACACACAUUAAACUCGAUUGGACAAACAGAUAGCUUAGUUUGGAAAUUUACUUGUUUCUGUGGACGCUGUAUGCCAAAAGGUACGUUGGAGUGAUUGUUGGGCUCAACUAUGGCAUCUGAAUGAUGUCAGUUCAUUACCCUGGGUGCAUAACAGUUAUUUGAAUGAGAUUGUGUCACUGUUAGAAAAGAUGGGAGGUGCUACACGGAACAAUAUUUAUUCAGCUUUAAGCAAUUGUGCUCUUCAAGAAUUAAGCUUAUGUGGACUUAUCUUCACAUAUAACAAUGAAGACGAGACUCAGAUAUCUAGUAGAGAAUAGAUUGGUUUGUUUGUGAUUAGACUUGGCAAAUUCUUUUCCAACAGGCAGUAGUUCAACAUUAGGAUUUUAUGAAGUUAGAUCACAGGCCACUAAUUCCAGAUGAAUGGGACUCAAGAACAAAAAAAUUGGUCACCCCUUCAGAUUUGAGCCAUUUAUCUUCGGGAAGAAGGGUAAGUGAAGGUGGUGGAAAGGUACAGCCAGUUGGAGUUGGAAAGUGAACGGGGAGCUGAUAACGGUGUCCAGAAUGCACUUUCUGCUCGUGGGGAUGUGUUAUCUUCUUGGAAUGCACAAAAAAUUGGGAAGAUAAAUUGUGGAAUGAGAGAGUUCUCCUUACCUAGUUGUAUGAUUAUUCAAAUAGUUCUAAUCAUGUGAGUGAAAUUAAGAGCUUAACGAGGUCCAUUUCAACGUGGAAUAUAUCGUUAAAUAUUCAAUAUGAUUCCACCAGAUCUAAUUUCGUUCAAGCAAUGGAUUCUAGUGAACUAAAACGAUCUUCUGAUCAAUCCAAAGCUCAUUUGGAUUUAUUCAUUGAACGUCACUAUUAUAACAUGACUUUUCAUAGGCAAUGGAAUUUGGAAGUUGUUAAGCAAGGGUGGAAGAGCCAUCUAAUGGACAUGAAUAUCACUCGGUUAACAAAAGGGAUGUAUGAACCUACUACAUGCAAUGACUAGUAAUCUCUUGACAUGGAAUAACUAAAAAGCUUGCUGUGAUCGAGAUCUUUGGGGAGAUUCCAUACUUCAAUUCAGUGGAAAGAGAGCCUUUGCUUACUUGCUUAACCAUGUCCUCCUAUCAUACCUAUAUCCCUCUUGUUGGGGUAAUAACGCGUGGGUCGACUUUGACUAACAAAUAAUGAAAUUGAGAAAAUGAAGUUAAAAAUGGACAUAAGUAUUUACGUGUUUCACCCAAUUUUGACUAUGUCCACGAGCAAGUAUAAGAGGAUUUUACUAUAGUAGGAGAAUUACAACAACUCUCUAAAUACAAGGAGAUACCAACAAUUAAUCUCUCUUGUAAUAGAAAAAAAAAACAAGUAGGAAAUACUUUAGGAAGAAACAAUAAUUUUUCUCUCUAUUUUUAUCUCUCUACUCACAAUUUUCUCUCCACUCAAUCUUUUCCUUUCUCUCAAUUUUUUUCCUCUCCAACACGGCUUAUUUCACUUGGCAUGUUAGUUCUCUAUUUAUAGAGAAAUUUGGCUUCAAACUGUCUCACUUUGUUUGGCUCAAAACCUGCCAUCAAGGUGCU